UACGUAGGGGGCGAGCGUUGUCCGGAUUUAUUGGGCGUAAAGAGCUCGUAGGCGGUUUGGUAAGUCGGGUGUGAAAUCUCCACGCUCAACGUGGAGGGGCCACUCGAUACUGCCAUGACUCGAGUCCGGUAGAGGAGUGUGGAAUUCCCGGUGUAGUGGUGAUAUGCGUAGAUAUCGGGAGGAACACCAGUGGCGAAGGCGGCUCUCUGGGCCCUACCUGACGCUGAGACGCGAAAGCGUGGGGAGCGAACCGG
rnacentral:rRNA from 1 species